UACAGAGGAUGCAAGCGUUAUCCGGAAUGAUUGGGCGUAAAGCGUCUGUAGGUGGCUUUUUAAGUCCGCCGUCAAAUCCCAGGGCUCAACUCUGGACAGGCGGUGGAAACUACCAAGCUGGAGUACGGUAGGGGCAGAGGGAAUUUCCGGUGGAGCGGUGAAAUGCGUUGAUAUCAUCUGGAAUACCGGAGGCGAAGGCGGCUCACUGGGGGUCUUCUGACGCUGAGGAACGAAAGCCAGGGGAGCGAACGGG
rnacentral:rRNA from 1 species